AGCCUUUGGAUUUCCGAGCUUUUCCGACAUCCUGCGAGAUCUGUCGAGCCUGAUUCCGAGUCACCGCGAGCAAUUCCCCAAGGCGCGAGGCUGGGCCGUAGAGAAGUAUUAAGAGGGCCUAUAAAAGGCGGGGCGCAAAAAUGAGGGGGGUUUAGGGCUACCCACCGGACCCGCAUCUCCCUCCAUGCACAGCCCACAGCCCCGCAGUCCCGGGCCGCCACUGAGGAAACCUACCUGACAGAUCGAGUCGCCCUCUCACGUGCGGCAGAACCACUGGGCUCGGUGUUCGCCGGCCGGGGACGCCGCAGCGGCGGCUGACCACGCCGCAAUCUAAUCUCUGCGGCCGCCCGUCCGCCGGCGCGCGGGAAGUUGCGCCGGGGCGGGAAGAAAAAUUACUCCAGGUCCUGAAGAUAAGCCCUUCCUAGCAGCGGUUGCCGAGCGCACUGGUCCGACCUGAUACCUCUCUCCCGACCCAAAUAAAAAAUAAAAAUUUUAAGGCAUGCUUUCA